rnacentral:rRNA from 1 species
AUUGAACGCUGGCGGCAUGCCUUACACAUGCAAGUCGAACGGCAGCACGGGUGCUUGCACCUGGUGGCGAGUGGCGAACGGGUGAGUAAUACAUCGGAACAUGUCCUGUAGUGGGGGAUAGCCCGGCGAAAGCCGGAUUAAUACCGCAUACGAUCCACGGAUGAAAGCGGGGGACCUUCGGGCCUCGCGCUAUAGGGUUGGCCGAUGGCUGAUUAGCUAGUUGGUGGGGUAAAGGCCUACCAAGGCGACGAUCAGUAGCUGGUCUGAGAGGACGACCAGCCACACUGGGACUGAGACACGGCCAAGACUCCUACGGGAGGCAGCAGUGGGGAAUUUUGGACAAUGGGCGAAAGCCUGAUCCAGCAAUGCCGCGUGUGUGAAGAAGGCCUUCGGGUUGUAAAGCACUUUUGUCCGGAAAGAAAUCCUUGGCUCUAAUACAGUCGGGGGAUGACGGUACCGGAAGAAUAAGCACCGGCUAACUACGUG